rnacentral:snoRNA from 1 species
AAACCAUGAUGUGGAUAUUUCUUGAUUAACUCUUUGAAUCUUUCCCAAGCUUCAGAUAGCAUCUCAUCUUCUUUUUGUUCGAAAGAUCGAGUGUCACUUCGGCGUUU